rnacentral:rRNA from 1 species
UUCAAGCGAGUGGCGAACGGGUGAGUAACACGUGGAUAACCUGCCUCAAGGCUGGGGAUAACAUUUGGAAACAGAUGCUAAUACCGAAUAAAACUUAGUAUCGCAUGAUAUCAAGUUAAAAGGCGCUACGGCGUCACCUAGAGAUGGAUCCGCGGUGCAUUAGUUAGUUGGUGGGGUAAAGGCUUACCAAGACGAUGAUGCAUAGCCGAGUUGAGAGACUGAUCGGCCACAUUGGGACUGAGACACGGCCCAAACUCCUACGGGAGGCUGCAGUAGGGAAUCUUCCACAAUGGGCGCAAGCCUGAUGGAGCAACGCCGCGUGUGUGAUGAAGGCUUUCGGGUCGUAAAGCACUGUUGUAUGGGAAGAAAUGCUAAAAUAGGGAAUGAUUUUAGUUUGACGGUACCAUACCAGAAAGGGACGGCUAAAUACGUGCCAGCAGCCGCGGUAAUACGUAUGUCCCGAGCGUUAUCCGGAUUUAUUGGGCGUAAAGCGAGCGCAGACGGUUGAUUAAGUCUGAUGUGAAAGCCCGGAGCUCAACUCCGGAAUGGCAUUGGAAACUGGUUAACUUGAGUGUUGUAGAGGUAAGUGGAACUCCAUGUGUAGCGGUGGAAUGCGUAGAUAUAUGGAAGAACACCAGUGGCGAAGGCGGCUUACUGGACAACAACUGACGUUGAGGCUCGAAAGUGUGGGUAGCAAACAGGAUUAGAUACCCUGGUAGUCCACACCGUAAACGAUGAAUACUAGGUGUUAGGAGGUUUCCGCCUCUUAGUGCCGAAGCUAACGCAUUAAGUAUUCCGCCUGGGGAGUACGACCGCAAGGUUGAAACUCAAAGGAAUUGACGGGGACCCGCACAAGCGGUGGAGCAUGUGGUUUAAUUCGAAGCAACGCGAAGAACCUUACCAGGUCUUGACAUCCUUUGAAGCUUUUAGAGAUAGAAGUGUUCUCUUCGGAGACAAAGUGACAGGUGGUGCAUGGUCGUCGUCAGCUCGUGUCGUGAGAUGUUGGGUUAAGUCCCGCAACGAGCGCAACCCUUAUUGUUAGUUGCCAGCAUUCAGUUGGGCACUCUAGCGAGACUGCCGGUGACAAACCGGAGGAAGGCGGGGACGACGUCAGAUCAUC